rnacentral:rRNA from 1 species
UACGAAGGGGGGCUAGCGUUGCUCGGAAUCACUGGGCGUAAAGGGUGCGUAGGCGGGUCUUUUAAGUCAGGGGUGAAAUCCUGGAGCUCAACUCCAGAACUGCCUUUGAUACUGAAGAUCUUGAGUUCGGGGAGAGGUGAGUGGAACUGCGAGUGUAGAGGUGAAAUUCGUAGAUAUUCGCAAGAACACCAGUGGCGAAGGCGGCUCACUGGCCCGAUACUGACGCUGAGGCACGAAAGCGUGGGGAGCAAACAGG